UAAAGAUUAAGCCAUGCAUGUCUAAGUUUAAACGAAUCAAAGUGAAACCGCGAACGGCUCAUUACAACAGCGAUAAUUGACUAAACGAUGUUAAUCCUUUAAAUGGAUAACUGUGGUAAUUCUAGAGCUAAUACAUGGUUUGUAACAAAACGUUUAUCGGUUUGUUCAUUUAUUAGAUCAAAACCAAGCGACUCCGGUCGUUUAUGUUGGUGACUCUUAGUAACUUUGUUAAUCGCAUGGACUUGUUCCGGCGAUACGUUUAUCAAGUUUCUGCCCUAUCAACUUUUGAUGGUUGUGUAUUUGACAACCAUGGUGGUGACGGGUAACGGAGAAUUAGGGUUUGACUCCGGAGAGGGAGCCUGAGAAACGGCUACCACAUCCAAGGAAGGCAGCAGGCGCGAAAAUUACCCACUCUCAGUUCGAGGAGGUAGUGACGAAAAAUAACAAGACUGGUCGCUUUGCGAACAGUUAUUGGAAUGGGUACAAUUUAAACUCUUAACGA
rnacentral:rRNA from 1 species